UUUUAUAGGGCAUGGAUUAAGUCCAAUUAUAAGUCAACGUCCAAAUGUUGACUCACAAAGGAAAUCCUAAUUCUCAUGGGUGACAACAUGGAAUAUUUCUUUCCUCAAUUAGAAUGGUCAGUUGAAAUUCUAGAAGUUAAAAGCUACCGAGAGUUUGGCUUAUCAUGGAAAUCCAGUAAAUCAAAAAAAUGUAUAUGGAAUCCAAAAACUAAUGAUAAGCUUAAUGGCCAUGUUUACUUCGGAAUCCCACUGCUAUAUGAAGUCAAAGACUAGAGAAGUUCAAUGUCUAAGGAAACUCAUAUACCUGGAGUCUAAAAUAUAUUACUUGGUCAAAGAAAUUCUGUGUACAUGAAUUACAUGGAAAAUGUGUUGUUCCUCAUGUUCAGCAAAGAGAAAGUAGAAGGUUCCCAUUCAACCAUAAAAAAUUCUCUCAAAAUUAUUGCGAAAUUGCAGAAAGGAAAAGAAAAAAAAUUCCAAGCAAGUAAAUUUUGAGAUCACCUUACAUGUACGCUACAAAAUUGUGUAAGUAGGUAGGCAUUUGUAGGUAUCAAAAAUUUUGGCCAAAUACAAAUUUUCACUUGUUACCUUAAGGUGUUCAAGCCAAUAAAUUAUAGCGCACCACUAAAUAAAUAUUUUGUAUUUAUUUUCACAAAUAAUGAUAAAUAAUAAAGUGAUAUUUCAAUAUUUAUCUCCAAAUAAAUAAAGAGAUAAUUAUCCAAGAAAUAGAAUCUUUUACAAACUCUAAAUUUUUAUCAAUCUCCAAAUAAAGACGCAAUAAAUAUUAAAAAGUUUAAAUCUAUCGUGCCUCUCCAUCUCCCAUACCAUAUAAAUAGGGGUGACCACCAUAAUUGAAGAUCAGAAAAAGAAGAACACUACAUACACAAAUCAUCAUGUAGAGAGAAGCUCCAUAGCUUCCUCAUGCAAUAAUGGUCGAAAGCUCCAUCGGAUUAAAAUGCCAAAGGCCAACAAAAAGUUUCACAUAAGCCAACCAAAUCAAAUAGAAGAAAAGCUCACCGGAUUAAUCCUCUAAAGCAUUGAAAACCAUUCUCGCUAAAGUCUUCAAUCUCAAGGCAAUUGUUCGCGUCAAAGCCUCAUCAAUCUCUACGUCGCCUUAAGGCUAGAGAUUCAAGUGAAAGAGUUCGUCGAGAAGCAUCCAAUUUCUAUAUCUUCUUCUACCAAAUUGAAGAAAACCAAGCAACCGAUAUGAGAACAAGUUGUGAAGCCCUCAAGUCAAAGUCCAACAAAUCAGUAGUUUCUCCAUAAAGAAUGAGGCAGAUUACGCCAUCGAUUCGGGAACAAGCCGUCAAGACCAUGAGUCAACGCAGACCACAUUCGUCAUUAUCUUCGCAAGCAUUGAAGAAGAUUGAGUUGUUAGAUUCCAAAACAAACCAUCAAUCCCUUGAGACAACAAAUUAAGUUUGUCAUUAUCUUUGCAAGAUUGAAGAAGAUUGUGCCGCUCAAUUCGAGAACAAGCUUGCAAGCCCUUCGGUCAAAACUCAAACUCUUCAAGAGAAAAAUCAGAGGAUUAAUUUCUUUGACUAGAAGUCUUUCAAAGAUUCUAUUCAGCUGUAUUUAAUUUUUUUAUAUUUUUUGUCUUAAAAUUAAGACACGAAUUUUGUGUUCGUACAAGCAAAUUUCUUGUCUAAAUAUAUAAAUACAAAAAAUUAUAGUCACAAUUUACAAUUUAGUUAUUUGGAAAAAAAGAAGUACAAUAUCUCGGUAAUUUCUAAUCAAAGAAAUAAUCCUUGAUUCUUUUCUUCUUGAAAUUUAACUCGCCGGCUUGAAAGCUUGUCCUUGAAUUGAAUGGCGCGAUCUUCUUUAAUACUUGUGAAGAUGACAGUUGACUCAAGGGCUUGGUUGCUUGUUUUCCAAUCGAAUGGUGUGAUCUUUUUCGAUCUUUAUGGACAAUACUACAAAUUUGUUGGACUUUGACUCGAGAGGGCUUCGCAGCUAAUUCUUAAAUCGAUUGUUUGGUUUUCUUCAAUUUGGUUGAAGAAGAUGCAGAAUUUUGAUACUUAUCGACAAACUCUUUGACUUUGAAUAUCUAGCUUCUAGCUUGGUAGAGUUUGAUGGAGUUUUGUCGCGAGCGGUUGCCUUGAAAGCUAAGGCAUAGGUGAGAAAGUACUUUUGGGCUUUAGAGGCUUUAAUCUAAGGAGCUUUCCUUUUGCUUGACUUGGUAGGCUUGCAAGAAACUUCUUCGACGACUUGACGGAUACAAUCCGAUGGAGCAUCUCGUGCUUGAUUUGCUUGGAUGAGACAGUUGUUCGGCACCUUUGAGGCUUCAAUCCGACGUGACUUUUCCUUUGCUUGAUUUGGCUGGCUUGCGAGAAACUUCAUCGGGGCCUUAGAGGUUUUGAUCCGAUAGAGGUUCCUCAAGCUUGAUUUGGUUGGCUUGCGAGAAACUUCUUCGGGGCCCUGGCGGCUUUAAUCCGAUGAAACUUCUCGCCAUUGUUGAAUGAGAAAGCUAUGGAGUUUCUCUCUCUACAUGAUGAUUUGUAUAUGUAGAGUUCUUCUUUUUCAAAUUUUCAACCCUAUUUAUAGGAUAUAGGAGAUCGAGAGUCGGGAUAUAUUUAAACUCCUUAAUAUUUAUAUAUAAAAAUGUAGAGUUGUGAAAAGACUUUAUUUCUUGGAUAAUUAUCUAUUUAUUUAUUUGUAGAUAAAUAUCAAAAUAUCACUUUAUCUCUUUAUUUGUGGAGAUAAAUACAAAAUAUUAAUUUUAGUAGUAUGCCAUAAUUUAUUGGCUUGAUCACUGGGUCGUUUAGGUACGAGUAUAAGUGCUUCAUAGGAUUACACUAUAAAUUCAUAGGGUUUUGUGUAAAUUACGAAUUGAAUCGUGAGUCAGGCCCUUAACGUAAGAUUCAUUACCGAUUUUAUCCAAAAUAGAUUACACUAUAGAUUCAUUGCGGUUUUGUGCAAAUUGCAAAUCUAAUCGUGAACCAAACCGUGAUGUCAUAUUCAUCAUCGAUUCUUUCCAAAACAGAGGAGUACCAUAUAGAUUCAUGAAUUGAAUCGUGAACCGUAAGAUUCUCACAAUAGAGAAGUCAGCAUUACAUAAUGUUAUAAUUAAUCUUGGAUCAUAGAAAUCAUGCAUUAAAUUGGAUUGAAUAGCAUCUUAGUUAAAAAAUUUGUGUUAAUUAGCCUCCAAGGACCAAUCCAAAGCACGGUUUCCUUGCUGCCAAACACAAUAUAACAAUAUAGAUGAUCAUCAUAUUCUAAUCUUUUCUUAUCUUUUCCUUAUCCUCCUCAAAUCAUUGAUCCAAAUGCAGCCUCGAUCAAUGUUCACUGAAUUGAUUACCAAUCAACAAAACUUUCACUAAAUCUUUUGACGUAGGCUCCAAGGACGGACCAAGGGACAGCCGGGGUCGACCUCUACCUCAAGGUUUUGAAAAAACUCCAUUAUUGUAGUAGUAUUCGUCCAGAAAUUUUAAUAUCGCAUAGGUUCGCUACUCCAAGAUCAUUUUUGAAAAAUAUAAUACUCGCCACCCUAUGGUUUUUUAGAAACUAAUUCUACUCCUAUAUCCUCUCUGUAAAAUAAAUAAAUAAAUUUAGUCAUUUUUUAAUUGUUUUAUUUAUUUUUCCCUUUUACCCUUACAAUUUAGUGAGGCACUAAAUAAUAUAUAUGUAGUUAUUUUUUUAAUAGUUUUAAUCAUUGUUUUGACUUUUUACCCUUACUAUUUAGUGGGCAAAUAGAUAGAAUGGGAUUUUAUUUCUAUUCCAAAGCCAGGUAUAACAAGCACUCGUAAUAGGGCUAUCUAUUCCAUGUUCUCCACAAAACAAUUGCACAUCCUCCAACAAAGAAAGCCAUCCAUCUUCUCUAUAUUUUUGAAUAAGUGCUUUUGUAGUAGACACUAGAUGCAUUGUAUUCAAUAUAUCUUGGGACUUCCGUUGCAAAGCUUGGCAAAGGUCUUUAGUAAUUUCCAUAAUCUCUCUCAUAAGAUGUAAAGAUGAACACAAACUCAAAAUAUGUAAUCGCAUCAUAAAUACCGUUUGCACCUGCACGGUGAGUGGAGGUGGCCCCAUCGUUAAUGACAUUCUUUAAUGUUGAACAAGUUGCACUGAACAUAUCCAUUAUCUACAAAUGGAACCCAAGUAUGAACAUAUCCAUUAUCUACAAAUGGAACCCAAGUGAGAACCCCCAACAAGUAUCUCCAGCUGGUUUCAAUAUGUCAAUUUGAUUUUUCCCAGUACCACUUUAAAUUUCAAUAAUGGCAAGUUUUUCGGAAAUUUCUUCAGCUAAAGCUUCUUUCAAUUGAUCAUGCCUUUUUCAAGACAAGACGACUAAAUUAACAAUGAAAGUCAUUUUAGAAAAGAAUUGGGAAGCAAGCAUUACUUUUCCAAGCUUGGAAUGGGAGCCAUUUAGCCACAUCUAUUGUGACGUUCAACCGCAAAGGAUUUCUCACAAUUUGUUGAGAAGUUUGCUCUUCCACGAUUUUCUCAAUGUGUUGCACUUGAUUUGAUAAAUCAAGGCAACUCCACAUAGCAUUUCGAUGGGAUGAAUUAGGACCUUGUCCCACAUGAGAUAAGAAAGCACAAUCUUUUCCACUAUUGACUUUCUUCCGGGAAGAAAAUCCCUCCGAAGUGAAAGCAUUAGAACUAGCACGAUUAGUUAUCUUCGUGAAAAGAUAGCACGGAAGACAGAAAGCACGAUUUUUGGUUGGAGAAUAUUCUAAGUUUCUAACUAGUCUAGACAUAACAUGUACCAAGAAGGUAGAAAGUGAUGACCAUUCUUCUCUUGAAAAGGUCUUGUUCUGGGUUGAUAUGGCUAAACUUGUGUAAGCCCGUCUGAUCUCAUAUAUAUUGUUGAGAUACCUGAUAAUCCCAUAUUUGUGGCUGUAACCCCUGGCUCCCUUACAGAGAAGCUUUCGAAGGAUGUUCAUGAACUAAAGCUUCAACAUUGUGGGUAGAAGGUCCUGCGGUAGCAUUGGUUACUGAAUUAUGGGAAUCCCUUUUCUCAAAGAACGAAUAAGUUUUUUUGUUGACCAUGAUUUACCUAACUCUCAACUGACAUCAGCCCAAUCUGAUUCAAAAACUUGAAAAUUAUUUAAUCAUUUUUUAUUACCAGUCUAUAUUAUGUAAACCUAACUAUUGAUGUACCUAGGAUAAACUAGAUUGCAGCUAGGAAAAGAAACUCUCCACAGAGAUAAUUUCGAACAAGAAAAUUUUGUUUAUGUGUGGGCAACAGGCUUAAUAGUCUCUUUAACCUAAUCUAAAAUAGGUUUAAAAAAAAAAAAAGACAAGUUAAUCAUUUGUCGCUGUAGGAUUUAUAUGUAUGUCAACACAUAUAGGAUUAGUAGUCGAAUCAUACAUGUGGUAUAACAAAUUGAAAACCUAGAAGUCCCAAAUAAAGCUUUGUAAAUAUAUUUUCCAUUUGCAAUUUUGCCAGCAACUAAUGCCAAUAGCUUCGUUUGCCCAAUUUGCUUGACCUAAAUUGAUUUACACAAAUAGGUAAUCCAGUGAAGAACAAGGAGAAGAGAGGGAGAGAAAUAAAAAAUACAAAAGGCUCCAUGGCUUCGGCCAUGAGGAAAACCUCAAUACUUGAAUCUACUGGGAAAUACAAAUGUACUUACAUGAAAACUAAACCGAAUUUAAAUUCAUGGCCAAGCAAUCCACAAACAAUAUGUAUUAGGAUGUCAUAAAUCAAUGUGGGAAAACAGCAAAUCAGUUCAUAUGUAUGCAAUUCACUUGUUUAUAUACUCAAUUAAAUUGAGAGCUUGGUGGGAGAAUUAUGACUACCUGACGGGGAAGAGAAAGGGCAUGGUAUUGCAUUCGAGCACUGUCGCCGAUAUCGCCCAGAACCACUGCCGCCGCGCCGUAUCCCUCCUUCCAAUCUUUGCCUCUUUGUGCCCUCAAUCUAUCAGAGUUUUGACUACAUUUGCUCGCUAUAUUGAACCAUAGACUCUUCGCGAUCUCAAUAUCAAGAAACUUAACCUCGCAUUUGAAAUAUCAGCCCCCUCUCUCAAAUAAAAUUUGACCAAAUAAAAAAUCAUUUCUGAGAGUAUCUCCACGGACUCCUUUUCUCUAUUUUUGCACCAUUUUAUGAGGUUAAUAUUGUGCCCUAAAUCAAUAAACAGUAAUCACGCACGCGCAUGAAAAAAAAACGCACCUAUAAAUAUAAUACACACUAAUCACGCACGCGCAUGAAAAAACACGCACCUACAAAUAUAAUGAUUUAUGAGGUUCGACAACUUGCUUAUGUCCUCGGGUGGUGCAGCAGAUUCAAUAUACUCGAUAAAGAUUUACAGAUUAUAUAUAUCUUAUACGGACUAAAAUAUAACAUACUUAAAACUUCAGGACUGCUUUGAUACCAAUUGUUGUGUCCUAAAUCGAUACACACCAAUAACGCACGCGCACAGAAAUACAUGCACACACAGACACAAUGAUUUACGAGAUUCGGUAACUUGCCCAAGUCCUCAGGUGGUGCAGCAAAUUCAAUAUACUCAAGAAAGAUUUACAGAUUAUAUAUAUAUCACUCUCUCACUAAUGGUUUGGUGGUGGUAGACCACCUCCCUCACUCUCUCUGCCUCACACUACAUUUUUCCAAACUAAAUACACAACCAUAAAAGCUAUAAAUAUAAAGGUUAAGAGUUUGAAUUCAAAUCUAAGUACGACUUUGAAUACAAAUCUAAUAAAAAGUUUGAAUCCAAAUCCAAUAAGAAGUUUGAAGCCAAAUCCAACAGUCUCCACCUUGGCGAACAACUUCUCCAAAUAGAGUAACACUGCUACCGAUGACCUUUCAGCGCCAAAUAUUUGUCCAGUUCAAGUAGUAAAAACUUGAUUUAGAAUCACAAUCUUCUCGACACUUGUGUAGCUCCAUCUUGCCGAGAUUAUCUGAUUUCAAUGAAUCACAAAUGUUCGAGACACAUCGAACAAAAAUCGAGUGAUCCAAAUAAACUGAGAUAAAUCAAGAACGAAUCAAAAUUUUUUGAGACUUAUCGAACCAAAAUCAGGUAAACCAAACAAACUGAGAUACCAAACUGAUGAAUCACACAAACUAGGUGAUCCGAACAAAUUGAGAUCCCAAACUGGAAUCUUCUCACAAAUGCUAGUACUAGAUAUGAGAUCCCUACUCAGAAAGCAUUCUUAAACUGCAUAGCAAAAUAUGAGAUCCCUAUUUUGAGAGCAUUCUCACACAUGAUAUCCCUACUCAGAAAGCCUGAUUCACAAAUGCUAUAGUCAGAUCAAAGAUCCCUAUUCCAAUUGCCUUCUCAUAAAUGCACGUAACUAGAUAAUGAGAUCCUUAUUUUGAGAGCCUUCGUACAAUGAGAUCCCAACUCAAAAAGUCUUCUCACAAAUGCAGAUAACUAGAUAAUGAGAUCCCUAUUCUGAAAGUCUUCUGACAUAUGGUGGAUGUUUUUAAUAAUCUUCACCCCAUCCGCCAAAUAUGGGGGGCGAACCAUUUAUGCUGACUGUUGUGCAUAUCUGCCUCUUUUAAAGUACCCGAACAAACUCCACCCAAAUUGAUAAAAUCCACCCAAACUGAUAUGCUCCACCAAAAUUGAU
rnacentral:lncRNA from 1 species